rfam:Ornithorhynchus anatinus chromosome 1, whole genome shotgun sequence.
UCCCUCUCAGGGUCGCACCUGGAGAGUUUCCACUACUCUACAGUCUCAACUUACGGGAGGGAGAGUCAAGCGGAGGUAUACCCAUUCCAUUCCUAGCUUGGGCAGUGGCUAGCGAGUGGAAGGUAAUCUGCUACAGGU